CUUUGCUUAAUAAAUCUUGUGGGGUGGUUAUUUGUGUGUCUCAUCCAAUUCUUUGUUCAUAACACCAAGAACCUGGAACUCCCAACUUCCAAUCUGGUAACAUAUUUUGGUGAGCCAGCCAGGAGGGUCAAGCCUGCAAUACCUAAAGCUCCAGACCUGGAACCCAAAGCUCCCAUCAGUCGCUACCCUGUGAACCUGUGGAGGAUCUGAAGUACCUGUUUAAAAGGCAUCCAAAAGAUAGAAUCUAUCAAGCUACAAAUGGCUAUGUUGCCUGAAGCCCCAGACAUCAUCCUACAAGAAAUAAGUCCAGACUUCUUAAUUUCCCCCUGGAUAGAGCAGGCCACCACGCUGUAAGAAAGCACAAAGUCUUCAUAGAGAAACCAUCUGGAGGGACCUCAAGCUCCCAGCCAACAGCCAGUCCUGCAAGAGGAGUGUUCAGCUGAGUUCAGUCCCAACCUGAGUUGCAUCAACUGAGCUUUCAGACAUCAUGGAGCAAAGACAAAGCCAUCUCUGCUGGGCCUGAAUCCUAGGCCACAUAAUACACAAGCAAAACAAAAUGGCUGUUUUCCCCCCAUUGCAGUUUGGGGUGAUACUGUGGCCUGGGUGAAGACAUCGUAUCCUCUGUGUGUAACAGUGAUAAGAAGGCUUACCUCGCAGGGUUAUUACAAGACAAAUGAAAUAACUUUGGCACACUAUUAAAGGCUUCGUGGAUAAUUAAAGCUUCACAAAAACCUUGAUGAGA
rnacentral:lncRNA from 1 species